rfam:Felis catus breed Abyssinian Contig89974.1, whole genome shotgun sequence. [26-MAY-2016]
GCCUGGGUGGCUCAGUCAGUUGAGCAUCCGACUUCAGCUCAGGUCAUGAUCUCAGGGUCUGUGGGUUCGAGCCCCUUGUCAGGCU